rnacentral:lncRNA from 1 species
GGGAAUAACUCUCAUAUGGAGUCUCCGGAUAGCUUCGGUCAAAACUAAACUCCUAAUCCUAAAGAUGUAACGAGCAUUUUGGUAAAAUAAAUUUGUCGUUAUCUUUUACGGUUGCGAAGGAGUAGUGGCCACAAGAAAAACAGUGUUUGGGGAGAUAACUCUUACAACGUAAAGUAUUUGGUUACGCAGUUGUCAGUUUUAAAAGCGCAUACGCUUUACAAUAUCAUAUUCCAAAUAUCUAAGCGACAUCUUUUGAAACGUCAAUAUUACGCAAGAAAAAAAUUAGGCGGAAGCAAAAAAAUAAAUAAAUAAUCAGAAC